AUGACAUUGGUGAUGACGACAAUAGCGAUAAUUUAACUCUAACUGGUCUCCUCUCUCUCAUGUUUGUGUGUGUGUGUGUGUGGUUGGUUGGUUGGUUGUAUGUGUGGUUGGUUGUAUGUGUGGUUGGUUGUGUGUGGUUGGUUGUGUUUGCGUGUAUUUACUUCUGUAAAGUACUUGACUUGUUUGUUACAGGCAGGGAAGUUUAACAUGAUCCCGACUCUGAUCAACAUGGUAGCUGCCUUUACAUCAGUUGGAGUGAGCACCGUGCUUUGUGACAUCAUACUCUUGAACUUCCUGAAGGGAGCAGAGCAAUACAAGGCCAAGAAGUUUGAGGAGGUAUCAGACACCCAGAUCGAGAACUCCUUAUCCAGCAAUGGGCUGUAUCGGAGUAGGUAGUUCAUUGGAGUAGUGAAGCAGUCAAACGACUCAGGGGCCUUUUCCAUUGGGCAAUACGGCUAACGGACAGCCAAUGGAAUGGAGUGUUUGAGGGGGAAAGGGGUGGGUGGUGGCAUUUUGGGAAGUUUGGCUGCAAAUGUAGGUUUAGGUUGAUAUUGCCCAUAGACCCUAAUCUUGGAGCAGUUUAACAUUUUCCCCACUAAAGGUUAUGGUUAGGAUUGGGGAAAGGGAAGCUGAUCCUAGAUCUGUAUCUAGGGGAGACUUCACCCCGGAUAGAGAAUGCAUGUAUAUAUAGCAUUGUAGUAUUCCUUAUAUUUCACAUGAACCUGUAAUUUACCUGUAAUAUUUUCAUAGUGGAGGUUGUAUGUGCAAUCGUUAACUCUGCAUGGACUAUUGUAUUUGAACUCCUACCUCUACAAAGUAUUAAAGUCUACCCACUACUUAAAUAAAAGUAUGUGACUUAAAUUUUGAUUCUGGUUUGAUUCUGCCAGAAACUCAAAUCCUGCUAGGAACAGACAAACAAAAACUCUAGUUGUUUACUUGCUUAACACUCUUUAUUUAUAUAUAUUUUUUAAUGCAUUUUUCAGUUUGCUAAAA